ensembl:lncRNA
AUUUUUAGGUUGAUAUUAAUGAAGACAUUAAUUAAUGUGUUUAUGAACAGUGUAAAUAUAAACCUACAUCAGGUGUUAAGAGGGCUGACCCCAUUUAGUCGACUGGUUGAUUGAUAGGCUGUUGGUCGACCAAGACUGUUUUAUUGGAGCAGUGGCAAAUAUAUAAAACAAAUGUAUGACACACGAGACACCCGUCUGAUUCACGCCUGUCUCAGUGGACUAAUUCAUUGUGGAGGCCGCGGGGAUUGCACACCAGUAUCACAUUUACUGUUAAUUCCCAUAGUUUCUAAUAUACAAUGUUUGUUUGGUUACGGUCAUUUCAGUUAAUGCAUUCAAUAUUUAUUAUUAUUACAGUCUUACCGUUGUCAUUGUAUGAAUGGAAACGUUGUUUACAGAGCGCACAACCUAGGCUACACUUUUUUUUUCAAUUUCUUUCCUUUUACGAGUUAAUUUAUUAAUUGUCUUUUGUUUGGAGCGCUCCUGUCAAUUUUUGAGUAAGGACAAGCACCUGAUUACGCAUAAAAGUAGGCCUAGGCUACCUGGCCUGCGUGCAAAUGUAGGCCUGUAAAUGUGCCUAUUUGGGGAGCUGAUACUAUUUCUGUCUUAAAUCAGCAUCACUGUGUAGCUCCUCAAGCUACUCGUUCUUCGCCUCAAACAGUUUGACUGUAUAGCAACUACGAUGCCCAUAGACCGCUAGCUGCGGGCUGGAGCUGAAGAAAAUGAUUGAAGAUACCAAGACCGCAGAGCUGUGUUGUGAACACCAGUAAUAAAGUCAGGUACAAGGAAGAGGGAAACAGUUGUGGACAUGGUGGAGAAAUUUGAAGCCUUUACUAGGAGCUUGAGCUGUUUGAUUUGGACUUGUCAUCUGGAAGGCUACUGCACUUCAGGACACUGAAGAAACGACAGGCAGAGGGACCAGGCCGGAGCAUUGUCAGAGUGGUGAUGGAAGAUUUCAUUAAGCAGCUGAGGGACAAUUUAUCCACCAGAUUUGAAGACUACAGCAUGCCCAAGGAUAUCAUUGCGUUUUGUACGUGAUCCUCUCAGUCUGCCCUGGUGGAGAAUUCUCCUCCCUUGCUAAGAUAACAAUACCCUCGCUGGAUGAGGUUUUUAAAAUGUAAAUAUAACCUUUUAUUUAACCAUGCAAGUCAG